rnacentral:piRNA from 1 species
UGGGCUGUUUGGCAUUGAAGUGUAGAGCCUU